CAACCCGGAUGGAGACGUUCGGCUGAACAUUCAGGAGUCAGCAGAGGCCAUAGUAUUCCGCAGUCGCGGAAGAAGGGC
rfam:Mucilaginibacter paludis DSM 18603 chromosome, whole genome shotgun sequence.